UUCAAAUGAAAAACUUUCUUACUGUCCUCAAAGUUUUAAAUAUCUGUUCACCCUGUAUUUAUAGUGAUUGUCUCUCUGAUGGAAACAGGGUUUGAGCUGGAGACACUUUCCUGUGGAUUCAGACCGACGGAACCAGCUGUGGGAGUGGGCGUGGUUUCCAGUGUGAGACCCACCUGAGUGUCAGUGGGUGAAUCAGUGACUGGGAGUCUGUGGAGGAGUCACUGGUUCACUUCAGCUGCAUCUGGCUCUGCCUGCACUUCUCACUGGUUCUCAGGGAGAAUUAACAAAGACGUUUUUCUGGAAACGCAGGACAACGAUUUCUCUCCAGUUUUUCAGUUUCACCUUUUUUCUCCUUCGUGUGUUUUGAUAUAAACUUGUAGAUCAGAAACAACUCGAACCCUGUGGACUUCGUGUUUCUGCCUUUGGUAAGAUGUUGUGGAAUCAGCUGCUCAGGUUUGUGUGUGUGCUUCUCUCUCUGCACUGCGCUGCUGCUGCUUCAGGUUGUGAGGGAGACAAAUGUGACAAAGAUCAACCACCACCUCCUCC